GAAGAGAGCUCAGUUAAGGGAAGCUCUGGUUGGUUUCAUCAAGUUCUCAGUGAACGUGUGAUUGUUGGAGGUGUUUGGUUUAGUUGUAGUGAUGGUGAACGUGUGACUGUUGGAGGUGUUUGGUUUAGUUGUAGUGAUGGUGAACGUGUGAUUGUUGGAGGUGUUUGGUUUAGUUCCAGUGAUGGUGAACGUGUGAUUGUUGGAGGUGUUUGGUUUAGUUCCAGUGAUGGUGAACGUGUGACUGUUGGAAGUGUUUGCUGCUUCCAGAAACAGGACGGUCACUGUGAGUGUUCAACU